UUGCCACAUUCAACCUCUCCCUCGACCUUCUAAGGCCCAGUUCCUCUCUUGUGGGCUCAAUUCACCUACAGUUUUCUAGAAGAUAACUUCUUCCAUAAAUGGCUUCUCUUAAAGUGAUGAAAGAUGACAGAAGUGGAGGUGAGGGGCACACACAUGGCAGGUUGCUGAGUGGACAAUGUGAGGUGAAGUGAGGGCGACAAGUGCUGGAGGGGCAGGGGUUUGCUGGGCAUGACCCGCCAGCACCUGGUAAUUAAAAUUGCUAAUGAGAAGCAAUUACGCUGCCAGGCUUCCUCUGGCUGGCUGCGCAGUUUGACCCUUCCACGGGAAGAAAGAAGAAGAAGAAGAAGAAGAAGAAGAGAAAAUGCCGGCUAUCUCGCGACCAAGGCAGCGCUGAGGAGACCCCGCCCUCCGCGGCACGCGGGUGAGUGGGCGCCCGCCUUCCGUUCUGAAGAGCGGUUGCGAGAGGAAGUUCACAAAGCUGGGAACAUCUGCUGGUGGGCGCUGCGGUGUGCCAAGCCCGGCGGGACAGGUGCGGGGACGCCCUUGGGACGCAGACCGCCACGGCAAGGAAAUACGAAGGAAAGGACUUAAGGACCGAGGUGUGAAGUUCAGCAGGAGCAACCUGCCGGCCGGAGACGUGGGCCUUGUGUCACCAGCAGACCGGGGACUGGAAGGGCGGAAGCCUCAGAAACCCAGAAGGUGCUCUAGUGCGAAGCUCAUAUGCAGUUAUGAGAAAUGGCGAUGUGAUGCAUUAUGAGGAAAAAUGGUCCAUUAGUUGAGGAUAGAAAGUGUUCCAAACUGAUUUGGGCCCAGAUAUAACUCGCCGUGCUGAACAGAAACUCUUGCUCGUUUUAGCCAGAUGGUGUUUUGCCAAUUCAAUGAAAUAAAUGCAUUAAUUACAGCA
rnacentral:lncRNA from 1 species